GUGCUUGAUACGGCUGCACAUAUACUAAAAUUGGAUCGAUACAGAGAAGAUUAGCAUGGCCCCUGCGAAAGGAUGAAGCGUUCCAUAUUUGGGGUAGUGGUGGCCUAG
ensembl:snRNA U6 U6 spliceosomal RNA